rnacentral:rRNA from 1 species
AUUGAACGCUGGCGGCAGGCUUAACACAUGCAAGUCGAACGAGUGGCGGACGGGUGAGUAAUGUCUGGGAAACUGCCUGAUGGAGGGGGAUAACUACUGGAAACGGUAGCUAAUACCGCAUACCCUCGGAAGUGCCCAGAUGGGAUUAGCUAGUAGGUGGGGUAAAGGCUCACCUAGGCGACGGUCCCUAGCAGGGCUGCGAGGAUGGCCAGCCACACUGGAACUGAGACACGGUCCAGACUCCUACGGGAGGCAGCAGUGGGGAAUAUUGCGCAAUGGGGGCAACCCUGACGCAGCCAUGCCGCGUGAAUGAAGAAGGCCUUAGGGUUGUAAAGUUCUUUCGGUAGCGAGGCGUUAACUACAGAAGAAGCACCGGCUAACUCCGUGCCAGCAGCCGCGGUAAUAC